AUUGAACGCUGGCGGCAUGCUUUACACAUGCAGGUCGGACGGCAGCACAGAGACGCUUGCUUCUUGGGUGGCGAGUGGCGAACGGGUGAGUAACAUAUCGGAACGUACCGAGCAGUGGGGGAUAACUAAUCGAAAGAUUAGCUAAUACCGCAUAUUUUCUGAGGAAGAAAGCAGGGGACCUUUGGGCCUUGCGCUGUUUGAGCGGCCGAUAUCUGAUUAGCUAGUUGGUGGGGUAAAGGCCUACCAAGGCGACGAUCAGUAGCGGGUCUGAGAGGAUGAUCCGCCACACUGGGACUGAGACACGGCCCAGACUCCUACGGGAGGCAGCAGUGGGGAAUUUUGGACAAUGGGCGCAAGCCUGAUCCAGCCAUGCCGCGUGUCUGAAGAAGGCCUUCGGGUUGUAAAGGACUUUUGUCAGGGAAGAAAAGGGCGGGGUUAAUACCCCUGUCUGAUGACGGUACCUGAAGAAUAAGCACCGGCUAACUACGUG
rnacentral:rRNA from 1 species